GACGAACGCUGGCGGCGUGCUUAACACAUGCAAGUCGAACGCUGAAGCUCAGCUUUUGUUGGGUGGAUGAGUGGCGAACGGGUGAGUAACACGUGAGUAACCUGCCUCCUUCUUUGGGAUAACGCCCGGAAACGGGUGCUAAUACUGGAUAUUCACUGGUCUUCGCAUGGGGGUUGGUGGAAAGGGUUGUUCUGGUGGGGGAUGGGCUCGCGGCCUAUCAGCUUGUUGGUGGGGUGAUGGCCUACCAAGGCUUUGACGGGUAGCCGGCCUGAGAGGGUGGCCGGUCACAUUGGGACUGAGAUACGGCCCAGACUCCUACGCGAGGCAGCAGUGGGGAAUAAUGCACAAUGGGCGCCAGACUGAUGCAGCGACGGCGCGUGAGGGAUGGAGGCCUUCGGGUUGUGAACCUCUUUCGCUCAUGGUCAAGCCGCAACAAUGGUUGUGGUGAGGGUAGUGGGUAAAGAAGCGCCGGCUAACUACGUG
rnacentral:rRNA from 1 species